UUUGGUGAUGAUGGCAGAGGGGUUCCACGCGUACCCAUCUCGAACACGACCGUUAAGCCCUCUAACGCCGAUGGUAGGAUUUGCUCCAGAU
rnacentral:rRNA from 1 species